rnacentral:tRNA from 1 species
GCGGAAGUGGCUCAGCUGGUAGAGCACCUCCUUGCCAAGGAGGAGGUCGCGGGUUCGAAUCCCGUCUUCCGCUCCG